UUUUCAUUUCUUUUUAUUUUUCUUUUUAGACUUUUUCUUUUUUUUUUUUUUUUUUACAACAAUAAAAAGGCAGACAUUAGU
rnacentral:ribozyme from 1 species